UUUCAAUCUUCCCCUGUUCUUCGCUCCAGGUUCUCUUCAUGGGAAGCCUUCUCUCCUUCCUGCAUAGCCAAAUAUAUGGGAUUGGUUCUAGACUCUGAAUCUGGUGGCGGCAAAUAUCCAGUGAUCGCGCGGGCGAGCAGUGAUGAGUGGUUGCUCCUCUAUUGAAGCGGAACACUUUGAUUCUUGGGGUAUUUCUUCUCGGAUUUAAGGUACUAUGAUGUAUACCACAAGCUUCUGCUAUUAUUUCUGUCACUUUUUCUGAAGUUCGGUCAGCGGGUGCAAUAAAAUUCACUUGCAAUGGUUAUAUGUUGAUCUUACCUUUUCGCAUAGUUCCCUGUUUAGAUGAAUGGAUGAAAAGUCUACAUGAACGCCAGUCUUUGGCUUGUCUAAAUUUCCAAAGUUAUUUCAUUGCUAGGAAUUAGUCAGAUCCUUGUUUAAAAAUUCAUCCCUUCUUAGACUGAAUCCAACCACGUUGAGAUAUCACACCAGCCAUGGCAUGAAUGGCACCAGUGGGCGCCCACCCUGAUUCCAAACACUAUGAUUGUAAGUCAUUUCUCUACCUAUUUUAUUAUCUUCAUCCUUGGAAGAUAUGGCGUAGCUUUGAAUUCUUCAAUAUCUAGAUUUUUCAUGAUUUCUUAUUUCCUGCUAUUAUUAUUCAGUAGCCUUACAGAAGUACGAUCUGAGAGACAUUUUAUUUGCACAAAUGGUAGAUAUUGGCUUUUAUCUUCAGUUUGAGAGGAACCAUUUUGUGUUGUAGUAGUUGCUGUUGGUAGUGGAUUUUUCAUAAUCUGAGAGUUGUGCGCCCGUUGUCAUUUUUGGAGGCAUGGAGCAAGCAGGGGGAGAUGGACGACCUACUUGUGUGCAUAGCACAUUGUUGGCAAGCUCGAAAUUAUUUGGGCCAUGUGUGAUCAGUUGUCCUAAGAUAUAUCUUGGUCAUUAGAAAGAACAGUGGUGUCAUUCUCGCAACAACCUAUGGAAAAUUACACAUGUCCGGUAUGCUUAACAAAUCUAAAUCUCUACAUAGAAACAGAUUCGUUCAUGCCUGUUUUAAUGCUACGAGGAGGAGAGGAGAUAUUUUUUGUUAAUGAUGUAAUGUUUACAAAUCACUUCCUUUUUGUCUUGUUACUUUAUAGUAUUCGAGUUGUCUAUUUUUCCUAGAGCUUGUAAUGGUGGGGCUUACAUGCCAGCUAGGAUUGGUGCUUCCUAGGACCAUGUAAUCCUAUUUUGUUUUGUCUAUCACAUCACAAACUUUGUAAUUUGGUGGAUGUCAAUUUGGCUAGCUCAUCCCUUAAUGA
rnacentral:lncRNA from 1 species